rnacentral:rRNA from 1 species
CCCUUAGAUGUUCUGGGCCGCACGCGCGCUACACUGAUGCAUUCAACGAGUCCAACCUUGACCGAGAGGUCCGGGUAAUCUUUGAAACUGCAUCGUGAUGGGGCUAGAUUAUUGCAACUAUUAAUCUUCAACGAGGAAUGCCUAGUAAGCGUGAUUCAUCAAAUCGCGUUGAUUACGUCCCUGCCCUUUGUACACACCGCCCGUCGCUCCUACCGAUUGAGUGUGUUGGUGAGGAGUUUGGAUUGGCCUCGGAAGGUGGUUCGCCACCGUCCGUAGCUGAGAAGUUCUCCAAACCGCCCCACUUAGAGGAAGGAGAAGUCGUAACA